rnacentral:lncRNA from 1 species
CGUCCGUCUCUUGCGCCCCGAAGGCGGAGGAGGCUUGGCAAGCCGAGGAGGCGCGCCGAGCGAGGCAGGUGGAGAGAGAAGCGAGGCGAGCGGGCAAGUACGGCGGCGGAGGCGCCCGAGUCAGCGUUGGAGGGGAUGAGGGGUGCCGAGCUUGGUUCGCGCUAUCGCAGGGAAGACCAGCGCUGCCUGGCUCUCCCUCCCUCAACUGCUGCAGGCUGGCCUUGCUAAUGAUAGUUAUACCCUGGAUGUCCUGCUCUUUUUGGUGGACCAUUGC